AACAUAUCCCAAAAGAGAAGAUCUCGAGCCUCAGAGGAUGUGGAAGUGUCAGCUGCUCCAGCUCUGAUACAGGAUCUUCCUAUGUGCCGACCAACACCUGUGUACUGCCCAGCGCCCCCUGGCUGGUAUGUGCAUCAUAUAGUUACAAGUAGCCCAUUACCACCAUCCGAUAUUCCAGAAUCAGAAGUUCAAAUUUCAACAACUAAUCAAGCUCCUACUCUACUGAAAGAACCAGAAGCUGCUUUGGCAAAACCAAAACAAGCCACUAAAAAGAAAG